rnacentral:rRNA from 1 species
CCUACGGGAGGCAGCAGUGAGGAAUAUUGGUCAAUGGGCGUAAGCCUGACCCAGCAACGCCGCGUGAAGGAAGAAGGCUUUCGGGUUGUAAACUUCUUUUCUCAGGGACGAAGAAAGUGACGGUACCUGAGGAAUAAGCCACGGCUAACUACGUGCCAGCAGCCGCGGUAAUACGUAGGUGGCAAGCGUUAUCCGGAUUUAUUGGGUGUAAAGGGCGUGUAGGCGGGAGCGCAAGUCAGAUGUGAAAACUCAGGGCUCAACCCUGAGCCUGCAUUUGAAACUGUGUUUCUUGAGUGCUGGAGAGGCAAUCGGAAUUCCGUGUGGAGGGGUGGAAUGCGUAGAGAUACGGAGGAGCAGCAGUGGGGAAGGCGGAGUGCUGGACAGGAAAUGACGCUGAGGCGCGAAAGCGUGGGGAGCAAAAAGGAGUAGAGACCCCUGUAGUC